rnacentral:tRNA from 1 species
GUAUGGGUGGCACAGCUGGAUAGCGCAACCGCCUCCUAAGCGGUAGGUCGGGGGUUCGAAUCCCCUCCCGUACACUA